rnacentral:rRNA from 1 species
CAAUAGCGUAUAUUAAAGUUGUUGCAGUUAAAAAGCUCGUAGUUGGAUUUGUGGCGUACGGUGUGUUCCGGGCACUUGUUGUCUGAGUAACCUGCUGUUGCCAUCCUUGGGUGGAACCUGUGUGGCAUUAGGUUGUCGUGCAGGGGAUGCCCAUCAUUUACUGUGAAAAAAUUAGAGUGUUCAAAGCAGGCUUAUGCCGUUGAAUAUAUUAGCAUGGAAUAAUGAGAUAGGACUUUUUUGCUAUUUUGUUGGUUUGCGCAAAGAGGUAAUGAUUAAUAGGGACAGUUGGGGUAUUCGUAUUCCAUUGUCAGAGGUGAAAUUCUUGGAUUUUUGGAAGACGAACUACUGCGAAAGCAUUUACCAAGGAUGUUUUCAUUAA